GGAUUUUUGGACCAAACCUUAGCAUUCAUUUGAGUAGGGUAAAGUUGAAAAUGAAAACAAAACAAGCACAGUAUGGGGAAAUAUAUUUAUUUAACAAAGUGGCAGAUAUUUUGUGAUCUAAGAAUAGGACAUCUUUGUAAUGAGGCUAGUUUUUAUCUCAUCUCAGGAGGAGUUCAAAUCAAUCAACGCUGGGGCAUAAAUCAUUUUCUGAACCUGUCUGUCUGUCUAUGUAGAAUAUAUUAACACUGUUUGCACUAUUGUCCACUGCAUCGUCACUGUAUUGUCCACUGCAUCGUCGACGCGAUCGUCCGUUGCCAGGCAACGGACGACGCGAUCAUCUGUUGCCAGGCAGGUUUGGAAUGGAUUACGUAUGGAUGACGUGCCCGGUACAAAUUUGGCAACCGGUACAAACUUGGCAACCGGUACAAAUUUGGCGUGACAGCGGCAUGGAAAUCUACACUUCAGGAAAUGCAGAGGACUACUGUGUGGUGUGCUCCUUUGCUGAAAAAAUGCAGAUGAGAGCAUGUUUGAAAUGGUGCAGUGUUAAUUGUGCAGUCGAUGGGCACAUUUUGAGUGCCCAAUAUGGCCAUGACAAUAGCGCUGUAUAUGUCUGCAUGAAAUGCCUCAAAAUAAAAUUAUGAUUUCAGAACUUUGGUUGUUUUUAUUAUUGGAUCUUUUGAAUAAUUAUUAUUUAUGCAUAUAAACAUACAGAAUCCCAUUCAGAAAUAUAGACAAGUUUUAACCAUACUUUGCUACACUUUUGUUGAAGUUAUUAAUUUAGACAAUUGAUUAUUGAUGUUUUUCUUUAAGUGCUUUUUUCUUACAUGACAUACAUUGCACAUACUGUACUCCUGACAUUUCCAAUAUAUACGUUAUAAUACAGCAUCAACAAUGUACAUGGGGUGAGUAAUGGCCCCAACUACAGUCUCGUUGUGGAAAUACCAGAGAUGUCAAAGAACCAACGUGUUAUGCACAAUUACACCAACAGCAGAACGUUUAUCCAAAUAACAAAGAAGUGUACAAGACUUGCGUUACAGUGUGCGUCAUGGUCAGCCCCUGGUUUUCCCAUUCACCUGCCUGCCACCCUGAUCUCCCCUAAUUAACCCAACCACCUUCACCUGUGCUCCCUCUAUAUAAAUCCUCUCUCUCCACUCAGUCUCUGCCAGAUCAUCUCUCAAUACUCACAGAGCUUUCCCGCGACUCCAGAAAUGUUUCUCCAACGCUGAUCCUGCCUGUUACCGAACCCUCGCCUUUCGGACCACCCACCUGUUGUCGAGUCCCCGCUGGCCUGUCUGCUCCCCUGUUUCAGACCCCUCGCCUGCCCGACUACCCGCACGCCGACGGUACCCCCAGUCCGCCUGAUUGCCUGCCGGUUCCCGAACUCCUGCCUGUCUCCGUUUACUCUGCCUGCCCGACCCUGAUCAUCUGUGCGACCAAUAAAACCUUUGGACUGCCCUGUCACCAUUGUCAGUCUGUGCACUUGGGUUCUCCCCCCCCCCCCCCGUUACAGUGUGUGUAAUCUCACACACACACACACACACACGGCUCUCGCACGGUCGUAGCUCAUUGUCUCUUUGGCGGGCCACAUUCUCGGCGGGCAGAGAAAGGAGAGGUAACUUUGCCCCUUAUGACGACAUAUGGGGUCACAUUCCAAAUCAGCGUGCCUGAGCUUCCAUUCUCUCAAAGGCGAGCAGGAUAUCUAGUGCCCGUUUUCCACUGAACGCAAGUUUUAGUCACUGGGGGACGAUAGGCAGGCCAGGGGAAGUGAAAUGCUAAAUGCAUGCUGUCUUUGUAUUUUCUGUGUCAUGCCAGAUUACUAAAAUAUUUGAAUGUCUCAUCAAUCUGUCUCGUUCUUUAACGGUUCGUUCUCACGCACGCGACCCGGGACCCCCACCUUGGUGGAUCUUGAUCGAUUCUUGAGUGGGGUUGGCCAUCUUCACAAUAGUGUUAAGCCACUGUUAACCCAAAAAAAAUCUAAUAUGCCCAGCAAAAAGUUUCUAUGUUGUGUUGAUUGAUGACUGACUUGCACGAUCGUUUGAGAAUGAGAACGAGGGAGGAGCUGAGUCUGACUGACUCAGCUGAAAACCGUGCAUUCCAUGAUUCGAUUCACCGCUACCGGAAACGCGACUGAACGAACGAAAGAUUCGAAACAAUUCUUCUUGGCGAACUGACCGACGAUUUUUGUCUAAUUAGUUUUUGUUUGAUUAGAUUUGUAUUACUUUUGUAGCAUCCUCCGAGGUGAAACCUGUCUUGGUAAAUAUAAUUACUAUCUGUAAAUUCAAAAGUAUUUUCUGCUCAAUCUACAAGGAUUAACAACUGCUGUUGGAGAUCGUUUUCGUAGGUGUGGACAUGCCGUUAAGUCUGACAACCGUGUUCUCUUCUGCUCUCUUUAAAAUAAGACCUGUUUCUAGAUGACUGUUACCUUCAGGUGUUUUUUGCCUAUGCUGCUGCUUUGUGCAACCUGCCUGGCCCAAAGCACCCUGCAGGGUAAUAAUGCCUGUCAUUUGUCCUGACAGCUGACAGCCCUGCCUGCUCCCACACAUCUCUCUCCUGAACAACGCUCCACACCACUAAACACACUUUGACUUUGAUGCACAGAAAUAACAAGCUGGCAAGGGUUCAAGACGAUUGGAGAGGUCAAAGUACACAUAAACCAUGGACCUUUGGUUUCACAAACAACAAUUGAGAUUAUCAGGAUGCCUUGUUGUUAAAUGAGUCCAAAUAAAAUUAAGUGGCGAUUUAGUGGGGCACCCAGAGGCACCUCUCUGCACUGAUCACAUUAUUGGAUGAAUAGAGAUCUUCCAUGGGCAUCUGUGAAGACAUAUUACCCUGAUACAGUUUCCAGAUGAAAUAAAUCCUUAUAGUCAGUGGGUUGUGCCUAACAUUUUUUAUCUUUCCUGCACUUGCUGCCCUGUCCCCUGACUGCAUGACUUGGGCUUUAUAGGCGACCGAGUUGAGUAUGCAUCAUUUGUACGGACAAUGCAUAAAAUACACCAGUAAACGACUAUCCUCAUUUGACUUAAUCCAAUUAAUCUACUUUAAUUGACUCAGUGGUCCUGUGAAAGAAGACUACUAAGCUUGGUUUCUUUGCUUCCUCUGCAAGGGACGGCACGUGUACCUGCUGACAAACCCUCCUGGAACACAGAACACAGGCAAAUUGUCUUUGACACAUUGAAUGCAUUUAUUUUAAUUUGUUUUUCAAACUAUCCAAGGUUUAAACUCUUUGACAAUGAACCAGGAGGAGCCAUCAGUGCAUACUAGACUUCAUUAAGCAAUAUGUGGUUACAUGCAUGUUAUGUUUCAACAUUGUUGUAUACACAGUAUAGGACAGUAAGAAUAACAAAUAGAACAUUCAACAUAUCAUGUGAUGAUUGGCAUUUUUUCCAUUGGCUAUGUGUUGACAAACUAUAUUCCAAACGGAAUAACAUACAGUCAGAACUUCAGUGUUUCUCCAUAAUACCACUAGCUUUGCCCUUGGUAGAGCAAGGUUGUAUAUUUGUAAUACACUGAUCACGCUGGUAAUAAUGCAAUAAUGAAUUUUAGGCUAACAGUACAUCCCAAAAACUAUGGUUGGACAAUUUUGAACUCUCCAGCAUACAAACAUGGUAGCAGAAGCAUGCACAUACAACAAACUUAACUGUAGAAAUAUACCAUUCAUUAGCAUGUUGUUACAUUCACUUUUAGGCCAGAAGCACUUAAAAAACCUAACCCCCCUCAGCAAACGGUAUUCUUGGCCCUACAUCUCAUACACUUUUGUUUAAUUGUAAAAAUAAAUAGCUUAUAUCAGCCCCACUACUGACACUGUGGGUUCCCCAGACACAGAACACUAAAUGUAUUUAAGUUCACCAUUGACAUGUUUCUUUGUAACACUAUAAGACAGACUGAAUGAAGAGGUAUCAGGGUAGCGUAAUAUAGAAUGUGGAUGCAACAGUGGAAGAUAAUACAUCCCCAUAAGCAGCUAGAAACUAUUCUGGUCUUGCCUGUGCAGAGGGUAACAUUGAGAAUGUAACAGUUUCAGGCCUGGACAUACAGUAUAUAUAUAUAUAUAUAUAUAUAUAUAUAUAUAUAUAUAUAUAUAUAUAUAUAUAUAUAUAUAUAUAUAUAUAUAUAUAUAUAUACAUAUAUAUAUAUAUAUAUAUAUAUAUAUAUACACACACAUAUAUAUACAUAGUAUAUGUAUUGUUGAAGCAGAGGGAAGGACCUCCUCCAUUUACAUUAAAGCUUAUUUCCCCAUAUAACAGUCCAAUAUGUUCCUCUACUAACAUUAUCUGCCAUUCACAAAGAGUAGCGUGCAGAAGGCCUAUUGAACCGACUCAUUGAGUCAUGUGACCUGAUGGUUCCUGAGUAGAUCCUGGGUUUGAGAAUAUGAAGAUCAAGUUUACCUUGUGUGCUGCUACCAUAACACACUGUAACAACCUGCCCUCUUUGAGGAUUCCCAGAGGCCAAGACACUUGAAGCGGGACCCCCCCCCCCCCCCCCCCCCCCUUAUAACAACUUUGUUGUUGGCCAUGCAUCCACCUGCCCGCCAGUACACAUCAUCAUAUUGACUUAAGUCAAUCUAUGCCUAAAAAGGGUCACUGCACAUUUCUAAUGAAGGAUUUUAAGAGGGCACAGGUAUGAAGAGUGUCAUGGCAAUGUUUUAGCGUCAGUAUUAGGUUACAUGCCUAGAGGCAGCUGUCGCCGGGGCCAUCCAAACCCUAGCCUCAUGCAAAUUCUGUGCAUUGUCAUUCAUUCUAUCAGCAGUAGGAUAAACAGUAUCCUGGUUUCUCCAAGCCUUCCUAAUUUCUUUCUUUUAAACAGUACUAAGUCAGGAUUAAUGAGCGUCCAACCAGGACCCCGUUGCUACAAGGUUUAAUGAAACCUUCC
rnacentral:lncRNA from 1 species